GCCCGGAUGGUGGAAUUGGUAGACACGCUGGACUUAAAAUCCAGUGGCCAUUGCGGCUGUGCGGGUUCAAGUCCCGCUCCGGGUACAA
rnacentral:tRNA from 1 species